rnacentral:rRNA from 1 species
UGAGGAAUAUUGGUCAAUGGACGGAAGUCUGAACCAGCCAAGUAGCGUGCAGGAUGACGGCCCUAUGGGUUGUAAACUGCUUUUGUAUGGGGAUAAAGUUAGGGACGUGUCCCUAUUUGCAGGUACCAUACGAACAAGGACCGGCUAAUUCCGUGCCAGCAGCCGCGGUAAUACGGAAGGUCCAGGCGUUAUCUGGAUUUAUUGGGUUUAAAGGGAGCGUAGGCUGGAGAUUAAGUGUGUUGUGAAAUGUAGACGCUCAACGUCUGAAUUGCAGCGCAUACUGGUUUCCUUGAGUACGCACAACGUUGGCGGAAUUCGUCGUGUAGCGGUGAAAUGCUUAGAUAUGACGAAGAACUCCGAUUGCGAAGGCAGCUGACGGGAGCGCAACUGACGCUUAAGCUCGAAGGUGCGGGUAUCAAACAGGAUUAGAUACCCUGGUAGUCCGCACAGUAAACGAUGGAUGCCCGCUGUUGGUACCUGGUAUCAGCGGCUAAGCGAAAGCAUUAAGCAUCCCACCUGGGGAGUACGCCGGNNCGGU